GAUGAACGCUGGCGGCGUGCCUAAUACAUGCAAGUCGAGCGAACAGACGAGGAGCUUGCUCCUCUGACGUUAGCGGCGGACGGGUGAGUAACACGUGGAUAACCUACCUAUAAGACUGGGAUAACUUCGGGAAACCGGAGCUAAUACCGGAUAAUAUAUUGAACCGCAUGGUUCAAUAGUGAAAGACGGUUUUGCUGUCACUUAUAGAUGGAUCCGCGCCGCAUUAGCUAGUUGGUAAGGUAACGGCUUACCAAGGCGACGAUGCGUAGCCGACCUGAGAGGGUGAUCGGCCACACUGGAACUGAGACACGGUCCAGACUCCUACGGGAGGCAGCCGUAGGGAAUCUUCCGCAAAGGGCGAAAGCCUGACGGAGCAACGCCGCGUGAGUGAUGAAGGUCUUCGGAUCGUAAAACUCUGUUAUUAGGGAAGAACAAAUGUGUAAGUAACUAUGCACGUCUUGACGGUACCUAAUCAGAAAGCCACGGCUAACUACGUG
rnacentral:rRNA from 1 species